UACGGAGGGUGCGAGCGUUAUCCGGAUUCACUGGGUUUAAAGGGUGCGUAGGUGGGAAUGUAAGUCAGUGGUGAAAUCUCCGUGCUUAACACGGAAACUGCCAUUGAUACUAUGUUUCUUGAAUUUUCUGGAGGUUAGCGGAAUAUGUCAUGUAGCGGUGAAAUGCUUAGAUAUGACAUAGAACACCGAUUGCGAAGGCAACUAACUACAGGGAUAUUGACACUGAGGCACGAAAGCGUGGGGAUCAAACAGG
rnacentral:rRNA from 1 species